GGGGUUGUAGCUCAGUGGUAGAGAGCUCACCUAGCACAUGCAAGGUGCAAGACCCUGGGUUCGAUCCUCAGCACCACA
rnacentral:tRNA from 1 species